UACAGAGGCCUCGAGCGUUUAGGCGGAAUCACUGGGCUUUAAAGCGUGUGUAGGCGGAUUGGUAAGUACCUUUGUGAAAUCCCACAGCUUAACUGUGGAACUGCUCGGUAUACUGCUGAUCUUUGAGCCACUCAGGGGCUACCGGAACAAAUGGUGGAGCGGUGAAAUGCGUAGAUAUCAUUUGGAACGCCAAUGGUGAAAACAGGUAGCUGGGGGUGUGCUGACGCUGGACGACAGGAAAGCCAGGGGAGCAAACGGG
rnacentral:rRNA from 1 species